rnacentral:rRNA from 1 species
GAUGAACGCUGGCGGCGUGCCUAAUACAUGCAAGUCGAGCGAACAGACGAGGAGCUUGCUCCUCUGACGUUAGCGGCGGACGGGUGAGUAACACGUGGAUAACCUACCUAUAAGACUGGGAUAACUUCGGGAAACCGGAGCUAAUACCGGAUAAUAUAUUGAACCGCAUGGUUCAAUAGUGAAAGACGGUUUUGCUGUCACUUAUAGAUGGAUCCGCGCCGCAUUAGCUAGUUGGUAAGGUAACGGCUUACCAAGGCAACGAUGCGUAGCCGACCUGAGAGGGUGAUCGGCCACCCUGGACCUGAGACCCGGUCCCGACCCCUAAGGGAGGCAGCAGUAGGGAAUCUGCCGCAAUGGGCGAAAGCCUGACGGAGCAACGCCGCGUGAGUGAUGAAGGUCUGCGGAUCGUAAAACUCUGUUAUUAGGGAAGAACAAAUGUGUAAGUAACUAUGCACGUCUGGACGGUACCUAAGCAGAAAGCCACGGCUAACUACGU